UAAAUAAAAUAGGGUGGUCAGAAAUUGAAAAUUCUUUAAAAAUCUUUUAUGGUUUACAUUCUAGUAAGGACACUAAUAUAAACAUGCUAAAUAAGUAAGUUGUAGAUUUCAAUUUCAGUUUUAAAUAGAGUAAUUUGAUUAGGUCUCAGGAUGAUGAGAUUUGAACCAAGACUUAAAGGAGGUAAGAGAAUUAGCUAUAUGGUAACAUGAGAAGAAAAAGCCUUUGCAAAGGUUCUAAAGCAAGAGUAUAUGUUCAUGGAAUAGAAAGGUAGCCAGUGGAAGCAGAGAGAACAAAGGGACCAGAGGUAGAAUAUAAAGUCAAGGGUGAGAAUAGAGGUCAGCUUAUGUAGGUCUCUGUAAGUCAUGUUAAAAACACUGACCUUUAUUCAGAGAGAAAUGAGAGCCUCUAGAGAGUUUUUAGUACAGUAGUAACAUCAACUUUAAAAAAGCUAAUUCUGGCUGCUAGGUUCAGAGUGGAUUUUAGAGAAAAUUGAAUCAGAUGAUUAGGAAAUUAUUAAAGUAAUCCAGGGAGGGAAAAAUAAUGGUAGCCAGAAUGAUGAUGGCAGCUGUAUAGAUGGUGCCAAGUGGUCAGAUCCUGGAAUUUUAAAAGUAGAGCUAUCACAAUUUCUGAGAUAUUGAAUGUGGUACAUGAGAAGAGGUGUCAUGAAUAAUUCCAAGUGUUUUGCCCAAAGAAGUUGGCAGGUUAGAGUUGCUUACUUUGAAUUGGAGAAGACUAUAGAGGAAUGGGUUUGAGGAUAAGGAUUUGGUAUUCUGUUUUGAAUAUGCUAAUGUUGAAGUGUACCUGUGAGACAUCCAUGUGGCUUCAUAGGCAGUGAGACAGGAGAGUAUAAUUGAAAAAGUAAGCUUUAGAAGAGUUACACAUUUGGCAGUUGCAGACAUAUAUGGAUGCCUUUUGAAAAUCAUGAGGCCAAAUGAGAUCACCAAAUGAGUGCUAAAGGGGAGAUAAAAGGGGUAACAAAUGAACCCUUGUAGUACUAGAGGUUGUGUGAAAGAGAUUGAACCAGCCAAGUGUUAUGUAAAUGUAUAUCUAGGAUGUUUUCUUACUGUCAUAAUUUUAAAACAUGUGUAAAGCUACUAUUAUCACUAAUAAAAAGCAACUGCUCACUUCUUCCUCUUUUAUUAGAUCUCUUAGAACUAUAAAGAUAUCGUAUAACCAGAUGUUUAAUUUGAUAUUGUACCAGUAACAGCUUAUGGAUUG